rnacentral:lncRNA from 1 species
UAGGAACAUCAACAGCUGAGUGCACCAGCCUCCUAUACAUUGGGUGUUUGUUGUCCUUCCCUUUCUUGUUUAGAUCUAUAGCCCGCUCCUUCAUACGAGAGACUAUGAACCGCAGGUAUGUGCUCAUCUCUUGUUUACUUGUGUUUUUCUUCUUGAUGCUCCUGCAAACUGGGCACUGCCAGUGACUACUGCUGUCUCUAAGCCUGAACUCAUCAGACAAACACUUGGAAUGAUACACACGAAAACACAGGUCACAUAUCAACACCUCUCCAGGCAAAUGGCAUUCAAAACAAUACCAGUCAUGAUUUUCUGUUUCCCAGUCCUUGUUUUUUGCUGCUGUCUGGGAAAAAGGCUGCAUACCGUAGGCAAUCUCAUCUCCUGGCAACCAAUAUCCUUCUUGUUCAAUACCAGCCUUUGACCCUUUACACCCCACCGUCAAGGUUUCAACAAUAAGACCAUCCUUGACUGCUAAACUCAGCUGACGAGUGGUUUCUUUUGGAUGCAUACCAUGGACUCGAGACAUAUACUUUGUGAUACGGUCAAUGUUAGCAAUUUGCUUCUGAUUCCGGAUUAUUUCUAUUGCUGCCCAAAGAUGUUGGAUCGCCUUUGUAUCUGCCUGUCGUCUCUUCGUUAAGCGUGCCAUGACCUGUUUACUUGGUCAGCUUGUGCUGCUGCCGCUGCUUCUGCUGCUGCAGGGGGGGCGAAGUUAAGCCAAGGGAAACUUUUCAAUCCCUUCCCCAGGCCGCUGCUGCCUCCUCCUUCCACAUAUUUUUCCCCUCAGAGUUUUAUUGUGUCUGAAUUUUCUCUCUCUCUCUCCUCUUCUGUCUGUCCACAGUUCAGGUUUCUGGGGUAAACAGGGUUUAGGAUGGUGCUAGGGAUAUUUGGGAGAAGGAGAACUCUAGUGGUGUCUACUGGAG